GGUCUGUUCUGAAAAAUUGAGAAGAUGAUCUAUCUUCACUUCAAAAAGAAAUCUCUAAGGAGCAAGUGGACACAGCCUGCCUCCCAUAAGCUGUCUGGCUCACUCAUUUUAUUCCUGGAAAUCAGAAGUCAAUCAUUUCCUGAGAAAUGAGGAAAAAGAUGGAGGUCACAGAGACCAGUAAGAGCAAGGAGGGAGAGGAAAAAGCUGAACAUGAAACUCGAGGAAGAAACAGAAUAUGCAGAGGAAUAAAAAAAGUGAGUAGAUCUCUAGAGACAGAAAGUAGAUUAGCGGUUGCCUAGGGCUGGGGAGCAGGAAGAAUAGGGAGUAGGACAGGCAGCAUGACAGGCCCCCCAAAGAUGUCCAUGUCCUCAUCUGUGGAACCUGUGAAUGUUAUGUGGCCAGGGGGAAUUAAGGUUGCUAAUCAAGCGACCUCAAAAUAAAGAGGGUAUCUUGAAUUAUCCAGGUGAGCACAUUGUACUCACAAGAGUCCUUAUAUAGGGAAGAGGCAGAAGUC
ensembl:lncRNA ITGA9-AS1 ITGA9 antisense RNA 1